GAUGAACGCUGGCGGCGUGCCUAAUACAUGCAAGUCGAGCGAACAGACGAGGAGCUUGCUCCUCUGACGUUAGCGGCGGACGGGUGAGUAACACGUGGAUAACCUACCUAUAAGACUGGGAUAACUUCGGGAAACCGGAGCUAAUACCGGGUAAUAUAUUGAACCGCAUGGUUCAAUAGUGAAAGACGGUUUUGCUGUCACUUAUAGAUGGAUCCGCGCCGCAUUAGCUAGUUGGUAAGGUAACGGCUUACCAAGGCGACGAUGCGUAGCCGACCUGAGAGGGUGAUCGGCCACACUGGAACUGAGACACGGUCCAGACUCCUACGGGAGGCAGCAGUAGGGAAUCUUCCGCAAUGGGCGAAAGCUUGACGGAGCAACGCCGCGUGAGUGAUGAAGGUCUUCGGAUCGUAAAACUCUGUUAUUAGGGAAGAACAAAUGUGUAAGUAACUAUGCACGUCUUGACGGUACCUAAUCAGAAAGCCACGGCUAACUACGUG
rnacentral:rRNA from 1 species